UUUUGAUAUUCUCUCUCUCUGGUGUUUUGAUAUUCUCUCUCUGGUGUUUUGAUAUUCUCUCUCUGGUGUUUUGAUAUUCUCUCUGUGGUGUUUUGAUAUUCUCUCUCUGGUGUUUUGAUAUAUAGAUGAAAAGGUUGUUACAUUCCCCACGACACAGCCUCCUUCAGCUGCCCAGGGUCCUUAGUUAGGUGGAGAAGAGAACACAGCCUCCUUCAGCUGCCCAGGGUCCUUAGUUAGGUGGAGAAGAGAACACAGCCUCCUUCAGCUGCCCAGGGUCCUUAGUUAGGUGGAGAAGAGAACACAGCCUCCUUCAGCUGCCCAGGGUCCUUAGUUAGGUGGAGAAGAGAACACAGCCUCCUUCAGCUGCCCAGGGUCCUUAGUUAGGUGGAGAAGAGAACACAGCCUCCUUCAGCUGCCCAGGGUCCUUAGUUAGGUGGAGAAGAGAACACAGCCUCCUUCAGCUGCCCAGGGUCCUUAGUUAGGUGGAGAAGAGAACACAGCCUCCUUCAGCUGCCCAGGGUCCUUAGUUAGGUGGAGAAGAGAACACAGCCUCCUUCAGCUGCCCAGGGUCCUUAGUUAGGUGGAGAAGAGAACACAGCCUUAGUUAGGUGGAGAAGAGAACACAGCCUCCUUCAGCUGCCCAGGGUCCUUAGUUAGGUGGAGAAGAGAACACAGCCUUAGUUAGGUGGAGAAGAGAACACAGCCUCCUUCAGCUGCCCAGGGUCCUUAGUUAGGUAGAGAAGAGAACACAGCCUUAGUUAGGUGGAGAAGAGAACACAGCCUUAGUUAGGUAGAGAAGAGAACACAGCCUUAGUUAGGUAGAGAAGAGAACACAGCCUUAGUUAGGUAGAGAAGAGAACACAGCCUUAGUUAGGUAGAGAAGAGAACACAGCCUUAGUUAGGUGGAGAAGAGAACACAGCCUUAGUUAGGUAGAGAAGAGAACACAGCCUUAGUUAGGUAGAGAAGAGAAGGAAGAAAGAAGGGAAGGGAACAACAUCUCUUGAAGACAACAAAACACUCUACAUCAGUAAUAGUACCCAGACAGGUCUCUACAUCAGUACCCAUCAGUACCCAACAGUUAGCUAGACAGGCAGGUCUCUACAUCCGUACCCACCAGUUAGCUAGACAGACAGGUCUCUACAUCAGUACCCACCAGUUAGCUAGACAGACAGGUCUCUACAUCAGUACCCAGCAGUUAGCUAGACAGGCAGGUCUCUACAUCAGUACCCAGCAGUUAGCUAGACAGGCAGGUCUCUA